AAGAGCUUUGGAUUCCCCUGGAACUGGGUUUCAGGCAGUCGUGAGCUGCCUGACACAGGGGCUGGGGACUGAAAUGCGGGUCAUCUGAGGAGCCACAAGAGCUCAGCUGAGUCAUCGCUCCAACCCCAACCAGGAUCUUGAUGGGACCGAAUGACUCUGAGCAGGCUUGUGAACUUGUGAGAACUGCUUCCGGCUGUGCCCUGUCUCUGCCUGGCUGUCAUCUUCCGUAAGGCCCAGCCGGGUCUUUGAAAGUGGCUAACAGCCCAAAGGGAACAGAUGACAACAGCAGUCAGACGAGAGUGCAAAGUGUGGGGAAGACUUGCUGCAAGUUUCCCUGUCUGCCUUUGGCCGGAUCCAACACGAUGAGGUCAACCGCUCUGCACGCCCUUCCUAGGAAUCUCAUCAUCUUGGGAGACUGCCUCAUUUCACAUGGAAGAAGACCAAAGAUGAGCAAACAGACAGUAGUCGCAGGCGAUCAAACCCCAGUCUCCCCAAAAUCAUUAGAGGCGAUCAAACCCCAGUCUCCCCAAAAUCAUUAGAGGAGGUAGUUUGACGUUUCUUGGGUUGUUGGGUGCUUGCUUUUCUUCCCUGUGGUCCUUUGCAGGGAGUGCAGAAGGUCUUUCUGCUGCUGUCUGCUGUCAAUUUACUUCACAUAGUCAAUGUCGCUGAGAUCCCGAGAGUGAUGGGGCAGUUUCUUUUGCCCCGUGCUAAGAAAGAAAAGACAAACUCAAUGGCAUAAAAAAAAAGACUUCUGUAUGAACUUAAUGCAGAAAGUAGGAUGUAAAGAAAAAAAAUUAA